GUGAACCUUCGUAUCAGGAAAAUCUCAGUAC
rnacentral:rRNA from 1 species